CAAUAGCGUAUAUUAAAGUUGUUGCAGUUAAAAAGCUCGUAGUUGAAUUUUUGCUUGCCGCCGAUGUCGGAACUUCCGUACGUUCGGCGGCGUGCAUCCUUGGGUGGAACCUGUGUGGCAUUAGGUUGUCGUGCAGGGGAUGCUCAUCGUCUACUGUGAAAAAAUUAGAGUGUUCAAAGCAGGCUUAUGCCGUUGAAUAUAUUAGCAUGGAAUAAUAAGAUAGGACCUUGGUACUAUUUUGUUGGUUUGCGCACCGAGGUAAUGAUUAACAGGGACAGUUGGGGGUAUUCGUAUUCCAUUGUCAGAGGUGAAAUUCUUGGAUUUCUGGAAGACGAACUACUGCGAAAGCAUUUACCAAGGAUGUUUUCAUUAA
rnacentral:rRNA from 1 species